rnacentral:lncRNA from 1 species
UGUACUGAAUUUUAGCAUCAGUUUGUACAAUGUGUCCUGUAGAGUUACUCAAAAUCAAAGAAAAGUUUAAUUGGACUCAAAUAUAGGUCAAGAGUGAUUUUUUUUUCUUUUUUUUUGCUCCUUUAAAAUUGAGGAAAAGCUUUGACUAAUAUUUGGACCAAUACAGUACUUAAACUAGCUCUAGCUUGAAUCUGGCUUUAUCAUUUGAUUAAUACAGUAUACUCCCAAUAAUCUGGGCUAAUCACUGGAAAUGGAGGCAUGGAUAAUGCAGAAAUGCAGAUAAUCUGCAAGUUUGUCUUAAUGAAAGCUAAUUGAUUUUUCUUUUAUUUAGUUUUUAAUUUCAUAUUAAAUUUAACAUAACAGUUUAUGUUAUGAAUAAAAUGUGUUUUGAGAAUGACAAUUUCUUAAUUAAUAAGCUUUUGAUGUGAUCAGAGAUGAAUAAAACUUUUGAUGUAAACAGAAAAUUCAGGAAAAUUUAUUGAACUACUGUCCACAGUUCACUAUGAAUUUCUUGUAUUAUUAACUGAGAACGAAGGUUGCCAGCUAGGUAGUAUCAUAAAAUGUCAUUAAUUUUGAAAUAUUAAUGAUUUAUUGUUAAGGAAAUUAUUCAAAAUAUUUUCUUAAAACAAUUUUACAACUUAUUUAAUAUAAAAAAAAAAAUACAGUAUACACAAGUAAAGCUGUAUUGUUCAAGAAUCAAUGGUGCUUACUGUACUUGUUAGGCCAUUUAAUUUAAGUAGUUCUGGAAGUCCUUGACUUUCUGAAAGUAGUUCUGUUUCUCACUAUACCAUUUUAAAUAGCAGGAAUUAACAAUACAGAUUUUUUUUAUUUUAAUACUAAUUUUUGUAUUUCUGAUGUAAAUUUUUAUUCAGACAUAAGCAUGCAUGGAUAUUUCGCAAGUCAGAUAAUCCCCACACAGAUAAUCAAGAGUAUACUGUAAGAGUAUAAUUCUGAUGUAGUUUCAUAUAAAUUUAAGUUUUUGUAUGUGUGUGUGUGUGUGCGUGCUUAUAUUAUGUAAACACUGUUGAAAAAUUAUGAAAAAUUCAAGAAAAUAUUAAAAUUAAAAUAAUAAUAAUUUUUUAAUAUUGUUUGCCAUCACCAGAGGGUGUUUUUAUCAUUUUUACAUAUUGAGGCAGACAAGUAGCCCCAAAUGAAAGGUUGACUCUGUCGUGGAAUUGUUAUUUUCCUCGUGCAUGUGAAAGGAUAAUGAUACUAAACACCAGCCAAGUUGUGACCUGUCGUGUUGUUGCACCCUGCAACUUUGUGUGGGAAUUAAGGGUUUUGCAUAAUUGAAAAUAAUUGAUUAGUCAAUUGUUUCCAAACAACUAAACUAAGCAAAUUAUUUUUACUGUAUUCAACAGAAUCAAUCAGUUUUGGAACUUCUACAGAAAUUUUAUAUGAAUAUAUGUGAGAAGCAAAACAAAGAAUAGGAAUGACCAAAUUGGAAAUAGAAAAACUGAAAAGAAAUUUGGAACAAAGGCAUAUUACAAAAUCUAAAAACACGAAAUUAGUGUAACACUUUAGUCUUUCAGUUGCAAUGUAUAGAUCAAAGACCUGGAUAAUAGAUGCUUUAUGUAUGAAACAUAUUGUGGUAUUUGUAAUAAUAUAUUGUAGAAGAAUGCUUUGGAUUCCAUGUAUAGCAAAAAGUAACUAUCUGUUCAUUUUAAAAGAACUUAAGAUUGCUGGAUCCACAAUGGAGACAUCUAUUGAAAUAUUUCAGACACAGCUUGAAAAAUAAGAACAAGCUUUACCGCAAGGUAGGGUUGAUGGCCAACAGGGAAAAGGAUGUCUCCUUUGAGAUACAUUAAUCAAAGUAGGAAGUUGAUGGGUCUUACUUAUGGCACUGACUGCAAAGAAAUGGGAUUGCAAGGAUUGAUGGAAGACAAGUUGGGUCUUAAUACUUGAAACGAACAAAACUGAAAAUGGCAAUGAUGGAUGUAAUACUUAUGAUGUCUUUUGUAUUUUAGUAUAGAAUCUAUUUGUUGAUAAGUUUUACUUGCUGUAUUAUAUAAUUAUAUAAAUUGUAAUAAAAGUUUUAUGAAUUAAAUUCACUUGUUUUUUGGGACCUGCUAUUAAAUGCAACAUUUCAAUAAGGAAUUAAAACCAAGAAUAUUAUGGCAUUCUUUAAAAGUAUGAAAAUAUUAAUUAUUAACCAGUACAUUAUUCAGUUUUUUAUUGGUUCCUUUCUAAUUAUUUUAUGGGAGUUUUGCCAUUAAAAAUUUUAUAAAAAAAAUACAAAUAGACUGUUUUGUGAUUAUUCUUCAAUUACUUUACUUUCUAAAAGCACAGAAGUUUCACCAAGUUGAUCUUUAAACAUUAUACUUGCUUUGCAGGUGAAGAUUUUUUAUCAUUGAAUGAUCAAAAGACCUCUUACAAUGUAUUUAAUUGUUAAGAUAGUUUAUAUUUUUAAAAAUAAGCAGUAUUAUAAUAAUGAUU